UAUCUGUUCACUCUGCUAGUAAGUUGGGUCUCAGUCUGAAGAUCUGGACUAUGAUUGUAAACUAAAUAAUAGUGAGGCUCUUUUAGCUGUGUUUUCCCUGAGCGAAAGAAUGUUAAAUACUUGCUAAACAUUAACAUGGAACCAGAGUUCUAUUCCUGGCUUUAAAGCUUCAGCAAGUUGUACUACACUCCCCAAUUCCCUAGCAGCAUAGUGUAAAGAUCCACCUUAAAUCAGUACACAAAGAGAAUACUUUGUCCCCACUCCAAGAAUUCUUUAGUAUAGUAUAGACUAUUUUGUGUGGAAAGAUUCUGUGUGGGUGAAUAGAAACAAACAAAAAGCAUGAAAAGGACCCGAGGAAAUAGCAAAGGAGAAGAGGUGAAAGAGAAAAAAUGGAAUUUUUUAAACAAACAUUUACUGGCUGUGUGCAGUGCCAGGCACUACCGGACACUAUAGAGAAAACAAGCUGAAAAGGACUCAGCCACUGAGAGUACAUCUCGGUGAUACACCUUGGCCAGUCUUGAGAACAGACUCAAGUAAACUUAGAAGCAUGGAAUUUAGAACAAUGUAAAAGGAAAAGAUGAUCUAUUUGGGACCUAACAGAAAAAAACAGUAAAGUUGACAGAUUUAACUAAAUAAUUUUAAAUUCCCAGAUCUAAAGUUCUUUGCUUUUUUGAAGAUGUGACUAAUGAAUAGUAGAAAUGAGAAAAAAAUAUUAAUGUGAAUGCCAUUUGUUGAGAAGGAAGUUCAUCCUAGCAGUUGAGUUUAGCCGCUAAAGGAGAAAUACAAAAGCAGGGUGGAGUUUCAGUACAGUUGUGCCUGUGAGAUGACUCAUGUUUGGAAUAAAAAUGAGUCGGAACUUAGAAAGAACUAAGCUAAUGACUUGGUAGCCAAAUGGGGAUGAGGAAGAGAGGAGUCAGAGUUGUGGCAGGCCGGGUCCAUGAUUUGGAGAUAGUGGUAAUGUCUGUAGUGAUAGUAAAAAGACACGAAAAGGUUUUCAACAUGUGAAAUUAGAGAAAAGAUAGAAAUAGUAAAUAGUGUUCAUGUGGACAUUUGAUCUCACAGUUUAUCAUGCACAUCUAUGCUUUGAAAAGAAAGGACUUGGGAGUGAAAUGAUGCGGCAGCAGCUUUGAAAGGUUAUUUUAAAAAUCCUCAGGUCUCAAACAUUUUCACUAAAUUCAUCUCAAUUUUUCAGUGAUCAAAUGUUCUUGAAGCUAAGUGUUUCCUCUCAAAAUAGAUGCUAAAAUCUAAACAGAUGAAAAUUAGCUUGGUACUAGGGAAAAAAUCUAAUGCACUUGGAAGGGACAAAGAUUGUGGAUAUUGGUGAGCAAAGAUCUCUACUAUAGAGGGGAAGACCUGCUGCCCUCCUAUUAAAUGGUCCCUGAGCCAUUUAAUAGGAAGGAGCCACAUUUAAAGGUUUUGUGGUUGUGCCCUGACCGCUGUGGCUCAGUUGGUUGGAGCUUUGUCUCAUACACCAAAGUUGGGGUGCAUGUGGGAGGUAAAAAAAAAAAGAAAAAAAAAAAAGUAAAGAUAUGGUGGUUGUAAAUUGAGAAAAGAUGUUAAGUGUUAACCUCUAGAGAUUUGAAUUAUCUCAUCCAAGGGCCAGACAUCAUCACCGUCUUCAUCAUAGCCAAAUUCUACUACAUACAAAGUACUUCUGUGAUUUAUAUUUUACACUUAAUAAUUUAAAGACAUCAGGAAGCCCUAUUUUCUAAUGUCACAUCUCUUCAGACCUGAUAAAAAGGAAAAUAACAAUUAUGGGAGAAAAAGGAUAUGGAUGAAUGUCUCCACAUCUACUUUUCUUUAAAAUCUGAACUCAUCAGCAUGCCAGACACAGUGGCAACCAUGAGAGGAUCUGGAAUUUCUCUGAGGUGUGAGACCUGGAUUAGAGCCUGUCUUCUCACGUGUAGAUCACUUCAAAUCCACAACCUUUUGUCUGUGACAACAGUGAGAAACCUGCUUUGUGGUUCAGAAAUUUUAAUGAAAUUAAGAGUCAGUCCUGAACAAGAAUUUGCCAGGGAGUCCUAAGAAAACAGUCCAUUGAAACAGAACAGGAUCUUACGGAAUUCAGUGGGGCCAGUGUAUGGAAAUAUCGAGGAGGCUGUUUAGUGAAGUCUUAGUUCUGUUCAGAGUUAGGAAGUUGAAUCCUAGCUCUGCCCCUCACUAGCUAUAGAUGACUGGGAAAAUCACUGUAACCUCUUUGUAUGUAUGUAGUUUCCUUAUUUACACAAUGGGAUUAAUCUCUAUCUCAAGAUUGUUGGAAGGAUUAAGCGAUAAAGCUUAUAAAGGUAGCUAACACAAUGGGCACUAUUAUUAACAUAAAAGCAAGUGCUAGUGUCCUAGAUACACUGGGUAGACCCCACUUGUUCAAAUAACCACUCUGGGAAUGAGGUGGAAGCCAUCCUCAGCAUUUCCUGUAUUGACCCGUUUGAUCAACACAUGUUUACUCAAAUUGCCAGUGCCUACCUGUGAGGGAUAAGAGUAAAAGAGCAAUUUCCUUUCCUUCAGGAAUUUACUAUUUGUUUGGACAUGUAGGAAUAAAAUGGCCUUCUUCAAUAGUCCUUUAAGAUAGGAUUCAUUCCCAUUUUCACAGACAAGCUAAGAGGCAUGGAGAUUAAAUCUCACAAUAAGCAUGCAUGCUGCCUGGAAGUUCCUCCCAAUCUCCCUUCUUUUUCUAUUACAAAGGAGCCAGGAAGGAUUCCGUGGAGGAGAGAGGAUGUGAGGAUGAGCCUGAAGAAGCUUUAGGAUUUGACUUGGCACAGAAAGCAGGAUGAAAGAGGAGAGGCCAGAAAUAACGCUUGAGUGCUCAGACAUAUUUGGGAAAUGAAAGAUAAACCCUGUCUCCUCAAGGCUCAAGGUGAAUACUAGCAUUUUAGGGUUUCCAAGAAGACCUGCAGGAAACCUGUUUUCUUGUUUCAUGCAGCCAUUGUAUUGAAUGUUUUCUGUGAUCCUCUGGGAAUACACUUGGGAAAGCUCAGCUCUGAGGUUUGAGCCUGGUAGGUAGGGACUUAGGUGGUGAGAGAGGAGGAAGACUCACCAGUUUCUUUGUCAAAAUCUUCCUGCAUCCACUGGCUAGAGAGUUCACUGAAAGAAUGAGAUGCUGUUGAAAAACUGGUGAAGGGGAAGGAACUGGGUCUGUCUUGAGCGAGGCUUUUUUCAUUUGCUUUUGCAUUUAAUCCAAGUGCCCAAGAGCCCACUGAGAGCCUUUGUCCUAUUAAGCUGCAUUUCAAGCCCAGGCCCAGGGGCUCAGCUGGCCUUUCCUCUUAUCAGCCUGCCGCCACCACCAUUCUGUCUUGGGUUCUUGCUGUAAGACAGGCACAACUGCCCAGCUAGUGUGGCUCAGGGGUAAGCACCGACCUUUGAACCAGGAGGUCAUGGUUCAAUUACUAGUUGGGGCACAUGUCCAGGUUGCGGGCUCAGUCCCCAGUGUGAGGCAUGUAGGAGGCAGCCAAUUGAAGAUUGUCAUAAUUGAUGUUUCUAUCUCUCCUUGCCCUUCCUCUCUCUGAAAUUAAUAAAGACAUUAAAAAAAAACAACAACAACACUGGAUUCCAACAAAUCUGAGUUUGAAUCCUCGUUCAUACUUGAAAGAUCAGGGAUUAGUCAUUCAAACCUUAGUUUUCUAAGCCUAUAAAAUGUAAAUAAUUCAUAGCCUCAUGGGCUUAUUGUGAGGAUUAAAUUAGAUACAUAUGAAAGCAUGUCAUGGGCUUGGCACAGAAGUUUCCAAUAAAUGGUAGUUAUUACAGAGAAAACAAAUUUUGGUUACAGAGUGGAAUUUAAUAUCUUCAGGUACUCUUAACAGUUCUGGAGACAAGCACAUAAGCUCUUUUCAUUUUAAGGAUCCACUGCUAUUUUCAGGGAAAGAGAUACCAAUAAAUACAGAGAGCUUUUC